UGGGGAGAAGCCCAGCAGGGCCCUUGUCACCUACCACCCAAGGGCAAGUCCUGUCCCUGACCUCUAGCUAAAGGGGCCAGGGGCCUCAGAGCUGGAGACGGUCACGACCUGUGCACAAGGCUGGGCACAGGGGGCCAGGUGGAGGGGACAGAGAGGAGCUGCCGUGAGAAGGAGGGGACCCCUGAGACUGGAAGGAGCAGCAGUGGCUGUAACAAGAGGAAGGAGACAAGGCUGGCUUUAAAUUCCAGCUGUGCCAUCUUGGGCAUGUCACUUCACCUCUCUGACCGGCAGUGUGUGCUCUCCAGAGUGGAGACACUCAUGGCUGUCUCAUAGUCUUAUUAAACGGACGGAACUAGGCUGGCAUCGAGAAGACCUUUAACAAAAGGAGCUCCCCUCCCAUUCAUCUCCCUCCAACCAGAGCGCUGGGCAGCAGCUGUCUCCAUGUUCCAGGCAAGGGGCUCACUCCGAGGGAGAGAUUCUGGAUUCAGAAGCAUCAAAUCUUCGUGCCCCCUGAGAUCUGAUGAGCGAGGGUUACAGAGAAGGAAGUAUGACAUUGUGUGAUUGUUCUCAAAGUCUGGUCCCUGGACCACCAGCAUCAGCGUCACCUGGGAACGCGUUAGAAAUGCAGAUUCUCCCCUUGCUCACGCAGCAGACUGACUGAAUCCGAAAUUCUGGGGUGGGGCCCAGCCAGCGGUGUGUUAACUGACCUUCCAGGAGAUUCUCAUCUGCUAGAGUCAAGAGCCACGAUUAAGAGCUCAGAUGGAACGUGAACAGACUUUGCUUCAAAUGCCAGCUCUGCCACCUAUCGCUUGGAGGUCCCAGUUAGCUCACUGAAGCAAGAAAAAGAUAUGAAAGGCAUCCAGAUUGGAAAAGAAGAAGUGAAACUGCCUUUGUGCACAGAUGACACGAUCGUCAAUGGAGAAGAUCUGAUGGAAUCUACAGUAAAGCUACUAGAACUAAGAGGUGAAGAAGAUGGCGAGGUGAAGAAGGGACGGGCAUUCUAGGCCAAAAGAACUUCUGCAAGAGAGAAUUAAAUAGAUCAUCAGGGGAAAUUCGGGAAGUUCGGUGUAGAAAGAUGAGGCGUAGAAGCAAAGAGCAGCAGAAAUACGGCGACUUCGCUCUCUCCAUCAAGCGACACGAAUCAAAAUGAGGAAAUAAAAAAUGACUUAUAAAGAGUUCCUGCUGAUUUGUAAUGAAUCUCACCUUCUUUGGGGCAGAAGUUUCCCAAAGGUCUGUUAUAGUGGGGGAGUCGAAACAGACAGGUACAGGGAACCAGAGAAGCCCGAGCGUGUGCGUCUAAUCUGAAGGACGUGAUCUCUCUGAGGUUACCCUCUGUGUUUUAGCAUAAAACUGUGGAGAGGGGUCUUCACGAGGGGAUGGUGAGCCUUCUCGCUGUGUUGUACCUGCACAGGCCCCGCAGAAAAGCACAAUCGCUGAGGGCGCUGGGAAGCUUGAGGACCAAAGACCCUUGGCCAAGUGUGCGUCAGAGAUCUCCCCUGCGGUCACAGCACGAGUCUGCGGCUGCCAUUGCCAGCAAGUCAUGCCCUUGAGAAAGUCCUUGAAACCCUCUACCUUCAGGUCCUUCCUCCACGAAUGGGGCACAUUACCGUCUGCUGGCCCUGCUGUCUCACGGGGUUCUCAGGAAAGACCAAAUGAGCUCCUUCGUGUGGAAAACCCUUGUAAGGUUUAGAGCCGAUUGUGAUGCAAAGGGAUAUUAUUGCUAAUAAUAAACAAGAAGAAUGUGUGACAAUGACCAGAAUUUCCUGUUGAGAC
ensembl:lncRNA